CAGAAUAUUUCCUAUCUAUUGGGAGGAAGGAGUGGAAGUUAACCCUAUGUGAACCGUGACCACCUCUUUGAGGGAGAAAGAACAAUAUCAACAACAUGGGUUUGUGGAAGGCUUUCCAGGAAUGUCCCAUUUCUGUUACGAAGUUGGCACAAGGAGCCGAGAUGGAUUGUAGACACCCAUUCAGACCUCUCCAAUUUGAGCAACAGAAGCAGCUGCUCUUUCCUUUGUGGCUUCAAUCACACAUCACAAAACUAGCUCCAACACAAGAUUUCUUGAUGCCAGUUUAAGAGAACACUGCAUUCUUCAUGGGCAAAUAAGAUCAUCAGGGGAGCUCUGCUUGCAGUUGCUAUCGGUUCAUCUGGUGCUGACCCCAAACCAGGACUUUUCUAGCAUUAUCCCAGGACUUUGGAACACACUCCCAAGCAAAAUUAGAGCCUCGCUAUCUCUGGAUGUGUUGAAGAAAAAUUUGAAAACAUACUGGCUUAAUCAGACUUUUAGUUCUUAAUUCUAAAGUUUAAAUUUUAAAAAUUAAAUUUUAAAAUUAUUUUAAUCUAUAUUUUAACUGUUUUAGUUGAUUUAAUGUUUUGUUUGUAAAAUUGUAAAGUGAUUUAUAUAUGAAGUGGUAUAGAAAUGUGCUAAAUAAAUAAAAAAUAAUAAAAUCAUACUUUAAAAAAAGAAAGAAAAGCCAGCGCACAGCCCUAGGUGGUGAUGUGAAUAAUUUCGAGAGCCAACCACACACCCCACCACCACUACCACUCAGUACAAACUUAGCAAUAGGAGUUUUGAUUUAUCAGAGUUGGAGGGAUCUUGUAGGCCAUCUAAUCCAACCCCCUGCUUGAUGUAGAAGAUCCAGAACUAGAGUGUCCCCAGAUGGCUAUGCAGACUCUGCUUG